rnacentral:siRNA from 1 species
CAGCCACCUAAUAGAUCUCACAGU